AAUUCUGUCAAAACAUGCACUUGAGUGUGUUUUGGAUUGUGGGAGUGUCUGCUGGCUUUAUGAGCCAGCUCUCCUGAAAUACAUUAGCUUUGGGGGGGAGGUGCCAAGUCACUUCUGCCUUUCCAUUGGUGUGAUAGAUGAAUUAACUUAUCUACGCCAGGAAAGCAGGCUUCAGGUGAUGCACUGUGAUCUCUCUCUGCUCUCUAAUUGACAUUUGUCUGAUA
rnacentral:misc_RNA from 1 species